rnacentral:rRNA from 1 species
GAUGAACGCUGGCGGCGUGCCUAAUACAUGCAAGUCGAGCGAACAGACGAGGAGCUUGCUCCUCUGACGUUAGCGGCGGACGGGUGAGUAACACGUGGAUAACCUACCUAUAAGACUGGGAUAACUUCGGGAAACCGGAGCUAAUACCGGAUAAUAUAUUGAACCGCAUGGUUCAAUAGUGAAAGACGGUUUUGCUGUCACUUAUAGAUGGAUCCGCGCCGCAUUAGCUAGUUGGUAAGGUAACAGCUUACCAAGGCGACGAUGCGUAGCCGACCUGAGAGGGUGAUCGGCCACACUGGAGCUGAGACACGGUCCAGACUCCUACGGGAGGCAGCAGUAGGGAAUCUUCCGCAAUGGGCGAAAGCCUGACGGAGCAACGCCGCGUGAGUGAUGAAGGUCUUCGGAUCGUAAAACUCUGUUAUUAGGGAAAAACAAAUGUGUAAGUAACUAUGCACGUCUUGACGGUACCUAAUCAGAAAGCCACGGCUAACUACGUG